rnacentral:rRNA from 1 species
CCCGCACAAGCAGUGGAGCAUGUGGUUUAAUUCGAAGCAACGCGAAGAACCUUACCAGGUCUUGACAUCCUCUGACCACUUGAGAGAUCAAGCUUUCCCCUUCGGGGGACAGAGUGACAGGUGGUGCAUGGUUGUCGUCAGCUCGUGUCGUGAGAUGUUGGGUUAAGUCCCGCAACGAGCGCAACCCUUGACCUUAGUUGCCAGCAUUCAGUUGGGCACUCUAAGGUGACUGCCGGUGACAAACCGGAGGAAGGUGGGGAUGACGUCAAAUCAUCAUGCCCCUUAUGACCUGGGCUACACACGUGCUACAAUGGGUGGUACAAAGGGUUGCGAAGCCGCGAGGCCGAGCCAAUCCCAAAAAGCCACUCUCAGUUCGGAUUGUAGGCUGCAACUCGCCUACAUGAAGCCGGAAUUGCUAGUAAUCGCGGAUCAGCAUGCCGCGGUGAAUACGUUCCCGGGCCUUGUACACACCGCCCGUCACACCACGAGAGUUUGUAACACCCGAAGUCGGUGGGGUAACCUUUUGGAGCCAGCCGCACGACAGGUGGGUACAAGAUGA